UAGGGAAUCUUCGGCAAUGGGGGCAACCCUGACCGAGCAACGCCGCGUGAGUGAAGAAGGUUUUCGGAUCGUAAAGCUCUGUUGUAAGAGAAGAACGUGUGUGAGAGUGGAAAGUUCACACAGUGACGGUAACUUACCAGAAAGGGACGGCUAACUACGUGCCAGCAGCCGCGGUAAUACGUAGGUCCCGAGCGUUGUCCGGAUUUAUUGGGCGUAAAGCGAGCGCAGGCGGUUUAAUAAGUCUGAAGUUAAAGGCAGUGGCUUAACCAUUGUUCGCUUUGGAAACUGUUAAACUUGAGUGCAGAAGGGGAGAGUGGAAUUCCAUGUGUAGCGGUGAGAUGCGUAGAUAUAUGGAGGAACACCGGUGGCGAAAGCGGCUCUCUGGUCUGUAACUGACGCUGAGGCUCGAAAGCGUGGGGAGCAAACAGG
rnacentral:rRNA from 1 species